CCUACGUGAGGCAGCAGUGGGGAAUAUUGGGCAAUGGAGGAAACUCUGACCCAGCCACGCCGCGUGAAUGAUGAAGGUCUUCGGAUUGUAAAGUUCUUUUCUAAGGGAAGAAGAAAGUGACGGUACCUUAGGACUAAUCCUCGGCUAACUACGUGCCAGCAGCCGCGGUAAUACGUAGGAGGCAAGCGUUAUCCGGAAUGACUGGGCGUAAAGGUUUCUUAGGUGGUUUGAUAAGUUGGUAGCGUAACUCCGAGGCUAAACCUCGGCACUACUACCAAAACUGUCGGACUUGAGUGCAGGAGGGGCAACUGGAAUUCCUAGUGUAGCGGUGGAAUGCGUAGAUAGUAGGAGGAACACCAGUGGCGAAGGCGAGUUGCUGGACUGUAACUGACACUGAGGAACGAAAGCGUGGGGAGCAAACAGGAUUAGAUACCCUGGUAGUC
rnacentral:rRNA from 1 species